GAUGAACGCUGGCGGCGUGCCUAAUACAUGCAAGUCGAGCGAACAGACGAGGAGCUUGCUCCUCUGAUGUUAGCGGCGGACGGGUGAGUAACACGUGGAUAACCUACCUAUAAGACUGGGAUAACUUCGGGAAACCGGAGCUAAUACCGGAUAACAUGUUGAACCGCAUGGUUCAACAGUGAAAGACGGUCUUUCUGUUACUUAUAGAUGGAUCCGCGCCGCAUUAGCUAGUUGGUAAGGUAACGGUUUACCAAGGCAACGGUGCGUAGCCGACCUGAGAGGGUGAUCGGCCACACUGGAACUGAGACACGUCCCAGACUCCUACGGGAGCCAGCAGUAGGGAAUCUUCCGCAAGGAGCGAAAGCCUGCCGGAGCAACGCCGCGUGAGUGAAGAAGGUCUUCGGAUCGUAAAACUCUGUUAUUAGGGAAGAACAAAUGUGUAAGUAACUAUGCACAUCUUGACGGUACCUAAUCAGAAAGCCACGGCUAACUACGUG
rnacentral:rRNA from 1 species